GAUCAUGGCUCAGGAUGAACGCUGGCGGCGUGCUUAAUACAUGCAAGUCGGACGAAGCACUUUGAUCGAUUUCUUCAGAUUGAAAUUUUAGUGACUGAGUGGCGGACGGGUGAGUAACGCGUGGGUAACCUGCCUCACACAGGGGGAUAACAGUUGGAAACGGCUGCUAAUACCGCAUAAGCGCACAGUACCGCAUGGUACAGUGUGAAAAACUCCGGUGGUGUGAGAUGGACCCG
rnacentral:rRNA from 1 species